GAGGGUAUAGCUCAGUGGUAGAGUGCACGAGGUCCUGGGUUCAAUCCCCAGUACCUUCA
rnacentral:tRNA from 1 species